GACGAACCGUGCGAACGUUGUUCGGAAUCACUGGGCUUAAAGGGCGCGUAGGCGGCUCGCGAGGUCGGGGGUGAAAUCCCACAGCUUAACUGUGGAAGCGCCUCCGAUACCGGCGGGCUCGAGGAAGGUAGGGGUGCGCGGAACUUCUGGUGGAGCGGUGAAAUGCGUUGAUAUCAGAAGGAACGCCGGCGGCGAAAGCGGCGCACUGGACCUUUUCUGACGCUGAGGCGCGAAAGCCAGGGGAGCAAACGGG
rnacentral:rRNA from 1 species